GUCAGCUAGGGUCGUUGCAGCGAAUGCCACUGAAAGAAGUGUGAUAAGGAAAUGUGGUAAUUUCCGACAUAGCUAUCAAUUCUACCAUAUUUUCAAAAUUGUUGUUGCUUUUCCACAAUAAAAAUUUUCAUUUGAA